rnacentral:rRNA from 1 species
GCCUGCGAAGGUGUACUGUGAGGUAUGCUGGAGGUAUCAGAAGUGCGAAUGCUGACAUAAGUAACGAUAAAGCGGGUGAAAAGCCCGCUCGCCGGAAGACCAAGGGUUCCUGUCCAACGUUAAUCGGGGCAGGGUGAGUCGACCCCUAAGGCGAGGCCGAAAGGCGUAGUCGAUGGGAAACAGGUUAAUAUUCCUGUACUUGGUGUUACUGCGAAGGGGGGACGGAGAAGGCUAUGUUGGCCGGGCGACGGUUGUCCCGGUUUAAGCGUGUAGGCUGGUUUUCCAGGCAAAUCCGGAAAAUCAAGGCUGAGGCGUGAUGACGAGGCACUACGGUGCUGAAGCAACAAAUGCCCUGCUUCCAGGAAAAGCCUCUAAGCAUCAGGUAACAUCAAAUCGUACCCCAAACCGACACAGGUGGUCAGGUAGAGAAUACCAAGGCGCUUGAGAGAACUCGGGUGAAGGAACUAGGCAAAAUGGUGCCGUAACU